CCUUUGCUCUUUAAAGGAACCUGAUGCCGUCAGAUCUCAGAAGCUAAGCAGAACCAAGCCUGGUUAGUACUUGGAUGAGAGACCUCCAGGAAGGC
rnacentral:rRNA from 1 species